AAGACAACAGGAAAAAAAAAAAAAGUGUUCGGUUCCAUUCGUUGUAUAAUAAAACUUGAGGCUUGGUAGAUGGUAGUGUAUCCCUCCAUGAACUCUUAUGAUAAAACUUCAAGGUUGUGUUAAUAAGGCUCUCUAUCUCUCUUUCAUGUCUUCUAUUUGUGCUAAGGACUCAAUAUUUCUUUCCCAGGGUUAGGUCAGAAGACGACUGGGGACCAUCAUCAGGAAACAUUGGUGCUUGAAUCGUUAGUCGAUUCACAACGAAACGCACUUGAUGAAAUAGAAAAUCUUGGUAGAGCUCAUGAUACCCUCCUUCAAAAAACCAUUGUUCCUGGGGACUGCAGUGGUCCUAAUGUAGAAGGUGAACUGAGAAGUAGGACGGCCACGCAUGUCAGAGGGGCCAGAAAGCUGAAAAACUUUGAGCUAGGACUAAUCAACUCGAAAAACAAAACACCCAACCAUAUAUAUAGCCAAAAUCAAGAAAGAAGAGAGGCCAAUUGCAUUAUACUUUCGUCUUUAUUUCUCUGUAUUUUCUUUAUUUUCAUGCUUUUGAGUUCAUGGGAGUGCUUUACAUGUCCAGUAUUUUGUUUAGAGUCUUGAAUUCUAUUCCCUUUAUUUGGGUUUCUGGUUUGGAAGAUAUCUGUGCACUCUGUGUUAA
rnacentral:misc_RNA from 1 species